UACGAAGGGGGCUAGCGUUGUUCGGAAUUACUGGGCGUAAAGCGCGCGCAGGCGGCUAUCCAAGUCAGUGGUGAAAGCCCGGAGCUCAACUCCGGAACUGCCAUUGAAACUGUUGGACUUGAGUACGAGAGAGGUGAGUGGAAUUCCCAGUGUAGAGGUGAAAUUCGUAGAUAUUGGGAAGAACACCGGUGGCGAAGGCGGCUCACUGGCUCGUAACUGACGCUCAGGUGCGACAGCGUGGGGAUCAAACAGG
rnacentral:rRNA from 1 species